rnacentral:rRNA from 1 species
AGAGCGAACGCUGGCGGCAGGCCUAACACAUGCAAGUCGAACGGACCCUUCGGGGUUAGUGGCGGACGGGUGAGUAACACGUGGGAACGUGCCUUUAGGUUCGGAAUAGCUCCUGGAAACGGGUGGUAAUGCCGAAUGUGCCCUUCGGGGGAAAGAUUUAUCGCCUUUAGAGCGGCCCGCGUCUGAUUAGCUUGUUGGUGAGGUAAUGGCUCACCAAGGCUACGAUCAGUAGCUGGUCUGAGAGGAUGACCAGCCACAUUGGGACUGAGACACGGCCCAAACUCCUACGGGAGGCAGCAGUGGGGAAUCUUGCGCAAUGGGCGAAAGCCUGACGCAGCCAUGCCGCGUGUAUGAUGAAGGUCUUAGGAUUGUAAAAUACUUUCACCGGUGAAGAUAAUGACUGUAGCCGGAGAAGAAGCCCCGGCUAACUUCGCGCCAGCCAGCCGC